AUUGAACGCUGGCGGAAUGCUUUACACAUGCAAGUCGAACGGCAGCACGGGAGCUUGCUCCUGGUGGCGAGUGGCGAACGGGUGAGUAAUGCGUCGGAACGUGCCGAGUAAUGGGGGAUAACGCAGCGAAAGUUGUGCUAAUACCGCAUACGCCCUGAGGGGGAAAGUGGGGGAUCGCAAGACCUCACGUUAUUCGAGCGGCCGACGUCUGAUUAGCUAGUUGGUGGGGUAAAGGCCCACCAAGGCGACGAUCAGUAGCGGGUCUGAGAGGAUGAUCCGCCACACUGGGACUGAGACACGGCCCAGACUCCUACGGGAGGCAGCAGUGGGGAAUUUUGGACAAUGGGGGCAACCCUGAUCCAGCCAUUCCGCGUGAGUGAAGAAGGCCUCGGUUGUAAGUACGUCUUUCUAGCUGGAGUG
rnacentral:rRNA from 1 species